AUUGAACGCUGGCGGCAGGCCUAACACAUGCAAGUCGAGCGGAUGAAGGGAGCUUGCUCCUGGAUUCAGCGGCGGACGGGUGAGUAAUGCCUAGGAAUCUGCCUGGUAGUGGGGGAUAACGUCCGGAAACGGGCGCUAAUACCGCAUACGUCCUGAGGGAGAAAGUGGGGGAUCUUCGGACCUCACGCUAUCAGUUGAGCCUAGGUCGGAUUAGCUAGUUGGUGGGGUAAAGGCCUACCAAGGCGACGAUCCGUAACUGGUCUGAGAGGAUGAUCAGUCAAACUGGACCUGAGACACGGUCCGGACUCCUACGGGAGGCAGCAGUGGGAAAUAUUGGACAAUGGGCGAAAGCCUGAUCCAGCCAGGCCGCGUGUGUGAAGAAGGUCUUCGGAUGGUAAAGCACUUUAAGUUGGGAGGAAGGGCAGUAAGUUAAUACCUUGCUGUUUUGACGUUACCAACAGAAUAAGCACCGGCUAACUUCGU
rnacentral:rRNA from 1 species